AGAGUUUGAUCCUGGCUCAGAAUCAACGCUGGCGGCGUGCCUAACACAUGCAAGUUGAGCGCGAAAGGGGGGCAACUCCCGAGUAGAGCGGCGAACGGGUGAGUAACGCGUGGGUGAUCUACCUUCGAGUGGGGAAUAACACCGGGAAACUGGUGCUAAUACCGCAUGACAUCCCGGGGUCAAAUCCGGGAUCAAAGCCG
rnacentral:rRNA from 1 species